GGGCAAUUAGCUCAGUGGUUAGAGUGCUUCGUUGACAUCGAAGAGGCCGCUGGUUCGAUUCCAGCAUUGCCCA
rnacentral:tRNA from 1 species